CCUUGACAUACUAAGAACUUUCAGAGAUGGAUUGGUGCCUUCGGGAACUUAGAUACAGGCGCUGCAUGGCUGUCGUCAGCUCGUGUCGUGAGAUGUUGGGUUAAGUCCCGCAACGAGCGCAACCCUUUUCCUUAUUUGCCAGCGGGUCAUGCCGGGAACUUUAAGGAUACUGCCAGUGACAAACUGGAGGAAGGCGGGGACGACGUCAAGUCAUCAUGGCCCUUACGGCCAGGGCUACACACGUGCUACAAUGGUCGGUACAAAGGGUUGCUACCUCGCGAGAGGAUGCUAAUCUCAAAAAGCCGAUCGUAGUCCGGAUCGCAGUCUGCAACUCGACUGCGUGAAGUCGGAAUCGCUAGUAAUCGCGGAUCAGAAUGCCGCGGUGAAUACGUUCCCGGGCCUUGUACACACCGCCCGUCACACCAUGGGAGUUUGUUGCACCAGAAGUAGGUAGUCUAACCGCAAGGAGGACGCUUACCACGGUGUGGCCGAUGACUGGGGUGAAGUCGUAACAAGGUAAGCGUAGAUGA
rnacentral:rRNA from 1 species